rnacentral:misc_RNA from 1 species
CGGGAGUGAAUAUUUAGUUUAGCCCAUCUUAAUGGAAUCAACACAUGUUGCAACUAAUUUCUUAAUUGAAAACUGCAAGUUAUGGUAUGGUUGUUAGUAAUUUAAACCUUAGAGGCAAUAGAAGCGAAGGGAACACUGGGAAGGUGAGUAUUGACAAUCAAAGAGUUAUUUUUCAAUAUCUAGUCUUUUUAUGCCAAGGUGGAUAGAUUGUGGUUAGCUUCAUAUAUCAGAAGAGGAAAUUAGUUUUAUGUGAAAGGGGAACUUUAAGAAGAUGGAUAGCCUUAUAAUAUAAGGGAAGAAAAAGCCAAUUCCAUACUUGGUAUCUCUUGGUUUGUGCAAUGACUCCUAGGUAUUUUGCUAGAGAGUUUAUAUGGAUAUCACUCUCCAGUGCAAUUGACUCUCUUGAGCUCCCUUCUCAUUUUAUAUUUUUACGCUUAUUCCUAGGAAGUUUUGAAAGUCCAAUUUUCAAACAAGAAUGUAAGAGCUGGAAUCAUUGAUUUGUGAACUCUUAUAAUAUGUAGUUGUGCCAGCUUUAGCUUCUCUAUUUUCUAAUAUCUUCAUAAUUUAUUGUUCUGAUUUGUAGGUUGUUGCACACUUAGAACUGAUUCCAGUCUUCUCAAUAAUUUCGUUAGAUGCAUCCAUCAAAAUAAUCAUUUGGUUCGUUUCAUUUGAAACCGGAAAACAAAAUUUAUUUUCUUUAGUGCAUGAACAUUUAUUGCACUUGAUGCUUAUCAUUUCACAUAUUUGAUCACAAUUCUGAUAUGAUAGCAUCUAAUGCACAAAUAUUAGAUGCAAAGAUAUGGAGUCAAGUGGAAUUACCAAAAAAACAAAAUUCCAUGUUAAGGGGGGUAAUGCUUUAGAUUAGAAAUGAAUAGAAUAGUCAGUGCAUUGCUAUGACAACAUGGCUAAUGUAAUUAUGAUAGGGGAUCUAUUUAACUAGUGUUUUAAACUUUUAAUACAGCGGUUUAUGAGUUAGGCUGCUUUACUAAAUUUAGUUUCUAAUCUGGACUUCAUCAAAUAGCUUGGACUAUCUGUCCCCGGGCUAGGUCUGAAUAGUUUUCUAAUUUUAGGGCCCUUGGUGGUUGAUUCAGCUCGUGAUGAUUUGAAAGCUCUUAGUGUUAGCUAAUAAAACUCUAAUUUAUCACUCUCCCCUCUUCUUCCCUCCUCUUCCUUCUCACCUUUCUUUUUGCCCUUAGCAUAUCAAAUAUACCAAAACUGGCACGGUGUGCAAAUACAUACCAGACCCAAAGACUUGUGUUUUUGUAAUUUAACACGAAUUUCUAUUUCUAAUUGGAUUCUUUAUUUCCUAGAUAGGUGUUAUUUAUAUUUUUUAGUUUAUUCAAGACGCUAAAAUGUUUUUUCUAUUUAGUCUAGGUCUUUAAAUAUGUUUCAUAUUUAGAUUAGGACUUUUUAAUUCAUUCCUACUUAGAUUAAGAUUUAGAACUCUAUAAAUACUUAUUAUAUUUUUAUUAUGUACAAGUCUUCCAAAUUAUUCAAUGAAGGUUUCUUCUUCAUAAAG